UCACGGUUGACUUAUUAUUCGGCCGCGCCUUUGAAUGUGAAAAAAAUUUGAAGUUUGAAAUGGGUUUAAGUUCGCGGAGUCUAAUAGCAUUGACAGACGGCAGCGUUAAACCAGAUUAAUUGCAUUUUGCGGGAUUAAUUCAGGAGUUACCACAGCUAACUCCGCUGCUGAAUCCAAAAAUAACUCUCAAAAUUUUAGGGAGUUUGUGAGAUUUUCGAUGGCAACAUUGUUAAAAAUGGCCAAUUUUCAUCUAUUGUGAAUGAAAUACAAGCAACCCUGACAGCUGUUUAUCAAAUUCUCAAUAUAAUAUCAAUAAAACUUCUAUGUUAUGAUGCAGUUUUAAAAAUAAUGUGUUGAUAUGCUUUUGUAAUAAAAAAUGGUUUGGUAAAAAUUGGUCGGCUAACAA